CGCGCGCGGGGAUCCGCCGCCGCCGUCGCCGUCCGCCUCACGCACGAGAGGAGCUGCCGCCGCCGUCCGCCUCGCGCGCGCGGGGAUCCGCCGCCACCGUCGCCGUCCACCUCGCGCGCGCGAGGAGCCGCUGCCGCCAUCACCUCCGCCGUCCGCCUCAUGCGCGGGGGGAUCCGCCGUCGCCGUUACCGUCCACCUCAUGCGCGCGAGGAGCCACCGCUGCCAUCGCCUCUGCCGUCCGCCUCGCGCGCGGGGGGUGGGGGGGGGUCCGCCGUCGCCGUCGCCGUCCACCUCGUGCGCGCGAGGAGCCGCCGCCGUCCGCCUCGCGCGCGGGGGGGGGGGGGGGGGGAGGAUCCGCUGCCGCUGUCGCCGUCCACCUCGCACGGGGAUGGGUCGAUGAGAAGGGAGAAGAGAAAGAGGAAGAGAAAGAAGAGGAAGAAGAAAGCAAUAGAGGCUGACAUGUGGGUCCUUUUGUCAUUUUGGAGAUGUAAAUAGAGAGCCUGUUGGAGUCAACACCUAGAUUGAUUACCCAAAUCAGAUGGAGAGUUAGCUGUAUGGGUAUUUGGAGAAUCGAAUUUAGAGAUGCUGUUGGAGAUGCUCUAACAUCUCACUAGACUAGCGGUUGUGGUUGGGAACAGAGGGAACAACACCUGAACUAAAGAACAAAUAUAGAUGCAAAGAACGUUGACAACUACUCUAUUUGUUUUAUAUUAUUAGUUAUUGGACUUAUUUCUUAGUCAAAGUUCUUUAGGUUUGAUCAAAUUUUUAGAAAAAAAUAACAACAUUUACAUUACCA
rnacentral:lncRNA from 1 species